rnacentral:misc_RNA from 1 species
AGUUAAACAGUACGUGAAAUUGUUGAAAGGGAAACGAUUGAAGCCAGUCGUACCUAUGGGUAAUCAGCCUUUUGGGUGUGAUUUUGUGGAGCGUGAGGAGUUAAACGCCUUCAUGCCUGCAUAUUCGUGCACUUUGGGUGUACUUGCCCGUGUGUAAGUUAACAUCAAUUUUGGUGGUCAUAAAAUGGCUGGAGGAAUGUAGCUUCGAUCUUGUAUUGAAGUGUUAUAGCCUUCGGUAGAUGUGACGAUCGGGAUUGAGGAUUGCAACGGAUACCCUUCGGGGCUACCUGUCUGAUCUCUGAUUGUUGCUCUGGUACCGAAAGCGUGCUUACGGUUAUCAAAGUCGAUGGUCAAUAGGUUAGAACGGGUUAAAUUCGUUAAGGAUGUUGACGUAAUGGCUUUAAA